AGUGAACGCUGGCGGUAGGCCUAACACAUGCAAGUCGAACGGCAGCACAGUAAGAGCUUGCUCUUACGGGUGGCGAGUGGCGGACGGGUGAAGAAUACAUCGGAAUCUACUUUUUCGUGGGGGAUCACGUAGGGAAACUUACGCUAAUACCGCAUACGACCUACGGGUGAAAGCAGGAGAUCUUCGGACCUUGCGCUAUUGAAUGAGCCGAUAUCGGAUUAGCUAGUUGGCGGGGUAAAGGCCCACCAAGGCGACGAUCCGUAGCUGGUCUGAGAGGAUGAUCAGCCACACUGGAACUGAGACACGGUCCAGACUCCUACGGGAGGCAGCAGUGGGGAAUAUUGGACAAUGGGCGCAAGCCUGAUCCAGCCAUACCGCGUGGGUGAAGAAGGCCUUCGGGUUGUAAAGCCCUUUUGUUGGGAAAGAAAAGCAGCAGGUUAAUACCCCGCUGUUCUGACGUUACCCAAAGAAUAAGCACCGGCUAACUUCGUG
rnacentral:rRNA from 1 species